UACGGAGGGGGCUAGCGUUGUUCGGAAUUACUGGGCGUAAAGCGCACGUAGGCGGCUUCCUAAGUCAGAGGUGAAAGCCUGGAGCUCAACUCCAGAACUGCCUUUGAGACUGGGUCGCUCGAAUCCGGGAGAGGUGAGUGGAAUUCCGAGUGUAGAGGUGAAAUUCGUAGAUAUUCGGAAGAACACCAGUGGCGAAGGCGGCUCACUGGACCGGCAUUGACGCUGAGGUGCGAAAGCGUGGGGAG
rnacentral:rRNA from 1 species